rnacentral:lncRNA from 1 species
AAACCUGCCGCCCCAGAGCCACGUGCUGAAGCCGGCGCUGGGUGGGUGGCUGGCCCCGCCCCGAGUGGCUCGGGGAAGGGGGGCUUGCUGGGAACCGCAGCAGGCCAAGUUCCCUGGGGAGGGAGAGAACUCGAGGUGGACACCCUCGACCCCAGGGCACCAGGGAACAAAUGUGUCUGGAGUAGGAGGUCCAGUUCCCUUCGAUGGGGGCAGCUCUGGCCGAGCCUGAAGAAAUGCACUGGCCUAACCUAACUUUCUCCCCUGACCGUGGUGGGAUGGGGUGGAAGCUGGAGACCACCCCGACCUCAUACCCUUCAAAAAGGAUGUAUGUCCCAGGGUUUACAGAACCUCAGUAAAUAGAGGGUGGGUGGCGGUUUAGUGAAGGGGGUGGUUGGUGGUAGGAAGAUGGAAGGAAGCUGUAUAAAAAGAGGAAAGAAGAAUUGUAAGAACAUGUGAAGUGCAGAACUGGACUCCUUGCAAAGGCUGAGAACUCCCUUGGUAGGGGUUACCUCCUCCACCAUUUCACAUUCUGAUUUCUCGUGUUUCUGGUUCGGGCUCAGUUCAGUUGCCACCUUCUCUGGGAAGCGCCUUUCUCCUGCCCCAUCGUCUGAGUGCACUUGGCCCAUGCAUCCAGCCCAGCCUCUGGGUCCUUGGUUCAUCAUCCUCACGGAUUCCAGCGGCCAUUCGGCAGAAAGUCUUUGCUCCUUCCCUUAGCAAUUGGAACAAGGACAGAGGGUCAAUGGAAUUUCAGUGCAACUCACUAAAACUAGCCCGUUGUGUGUACAUCCAUACUCAAGAAUACAGAUGGACUUCAUUAAAGCUAUCGUGUCCUGUGGAAAUACAUUCAUACAAAAAAUAUUAGGGGCCGUCUCUCUCUCUCUUUUUUCCCCCCCUUGAGCGGCUGUGUCUCUUCACAAAACUUUUUCAAAGACUAUUAAAUGUAAGAUUCCUCAUAUGCAUUUACAAGUCUUACUUUUGUUUUUGUUUUUGUUUUUUGGGGGCAACUUUUGGGGGAAAGAUGUUGAAAGUGAGAUAUAAGAUCAAGAGAUGAAUUAGCAGAGAUUUGACUAUUUUCAGGGGUCAUGUAACAAAAUUCUGUAUUACUGCAGAUACCAGAAAACUGAGCUAAAUUAGGAAUAUCUGUCUCCUGAAGUUUGGCCUAACUCCUCAAAACAUCUGUCAUCCGCUGGUAGCAUUUAUCACUCCACAGAGAAGCGAAUCUCCUCUAUGCCGUCCUUGGCCACGUAAUAGAGCAGAGAGCCCAGGACACUGUUAGAAAAUCUUGGCUCUACCUCUGGCUCUGCCAUGUGUGAGCUUUGCUACCUUGGGCCACCUGCUAGUCUGCUUGAGCCUUGGUUUUACUUACCUGUAAUAUAGGGAUCAUUCCAUCUAUGUCUUAGGGCCCAUGUGAAGACCAGAAGAAUAAGAGACACUCAGUAAAGGGUACUCAAUAAAGAGUAGCUUCAAGUGUUUUAGACUUUUUUU